CUCCGGACACGGCGCUGGACGAGCAGCUGGACAUGGCGCUGGCCGGAGCCGCGCUGGCCCUGGGCCUGGUCCUGGCCCUGCUGGGGGCCGGCCUGGCCCUGCUGGCGCGCCACGGCUGAGCUCGUCCCCGCGGGAACCUGGGAGUGAACCCCGGCCUGUCCCAAAUAAAUCCAGGCUUUGGCAGAGCCCGCCGCCUCGCUUGGCACGGGCCUCGUUUAGUCCUGGCUUUAGUCCUG